rnacentral:rRNA from 1 species
CCUGGCUCAGGAUGAACGCUGGCGGCGUGCUUAACACAUGCAAGUCGAACGAAGCACUUAUUCACGAUCCCUUCGGGGUGACGAAUCUGUGACUGAGUGGCGGACGGGUGAGUAACGCGUGGGUAACCUGCCUCAGUACAGGGGGAUAACAGUUGGAAACGACUGCUAAUACCGCAUAAGCGCACAGUACCGCAUGGUACAGUGUGAAAAACUCCGGUGGUAUGAGAUGGGCCUGCGUCUGAUUAGCUAGUUGGUGGGGUAACGGCCCACCAAGUCGACGAUCAGUAGCCGGACUGAGAGGUUGAACGGCCACAUUGGGACUGAGACACGGCCCAGACUCCUACGGGAGGCAGCAGUGGGGAAUAUUGCACAAUGGGCGCAAGCCUGAUGCAGCGAUGCCGCGUGAGGGAAGAAGGUUUUCGGAUUGUAAACCUCUGUCAUCGGGGACGAUAAUGACGGUACCCGAGAAGGAAGCUCCGGCUAACUACGUG